rnacentral:rRNA from 1 species
UACGAAGGGGGCUAGCGUUGUUCGGAAUCACUGGGCGUAAAGGGCGCGUAGGCGGCUUAUAAGUCGGGGGUGAAAGCCUGUGGCUCAACCACAGAAUUGCCUUCGAUACUGUAGAGCUUGAGACCGGAAGAGGUUAGUGGAACUGACGAGUGUAGAGGUGAAAUUCGUAGAUAUUCGCAAGAACACCAGUGGCGAAGGCGGCUGACUGGUCCGGUUCUGACGCUGAGGCGCGAAAAGCGUGGGGAGCAAACAGG